AUGAAAUUUAUGUAUGUCUUGCCUGGCUGGGAGGGUUCAGCUUCUGACUCAAGAGUCUUGCGUGAUGCAAUGAGGUUGAGCCGCCAAGAUGCAUUUGUCGUACCACAUGGGAAAUAUUAUUUAGUUGAUGCUGGUUAUACCAACGGUCCUGGAUUUCCUGCUCCAUUCAGAUCGACUCGAUAUCACUUAAAAGAGUGGGUAUCAAGUCAACAACAGCCCCAAACUCCUAAAGAGCUGUAUAACUUGCAUCAUUCCCGAGCUAGAAAUGUAGUCGAGAGAACAUUUGGGUUGUGGAAGAAAAAGUGGGCUUUUCUACAUUGUCAAUCUUUCUUUGACAUAAAGGACCAGGUAUGA
rnacentral:rRNA from 1 species